GGUAGAGAGGGGGAAGGUGGGGGGGGAAUGCGUAGGGGGCGGGGGGUGACUGGAUGUAAGGGGCGUAAAGGGAGCGGAGGGGGAUUUUUAAGGGAGAUGGGAAAUACUAAGGCUUAACCGGAGUGCUGCAUUUCAAACUGGAAGGCUAGAGUGCAGGAGAGGAGAAGGGAAUUCCUAGUGUAGCGGUGAAAUGCGUAGAGAUUAGGAAGAACACCAGUGGCGAAGGCGCUUCUCUGGACUGUAACUGACGCUGAGGCUCGAAAGCGUGGGGAGCAAACAGGAUUAGAUACCCGUGUAGUC
rnacentral:rRNA from 1 species